CGCUGCCCGCCGAGUCUGUGCUGCCCAUCUCAAGGACGGACGAGCCGGAUGUCCCGUCGGCGUGCCUGCCCUCCGUGGGCGAGGUCGUGCUGCUACCCUGUUCUUCCGGGUCGCGACUUUCGCUGUUCGCCUGAAAAGUGGUAUCUAAAACUUUGAAGGCUUUGAGUGUCUAUCUUGGAGUGUCUGUCCAGGUGUCUGAUACAGUGGUGCCUGUCAAAGUGUCUAUCUUGCACCGUCUAUCCGAUCGUUUGAUUUUACAGUGUUUAUCCAAAUGCCCAAAGGGUGAACGCUUUUGGUGCCGCAGAAUAGAAUUACGCUGUUUCUUAACACCGUAGCCAAAGGGAGAAAGACGAGGAAGAAAAGUCAAUUGAGUUUAAUUUAAUCCGCCUGCGAAAAUAACCGAAGAAACAGCUGCGGGAUGAGCGCGAUGCGCAUAAAUCGAAACGAAUGGGCGCCGGUGACGUUGACGAGGACACGCGAAACGAACGGUCCAAAGGAUCUUCCGCGACUUCCUCCAAUCAUGACGCGACAACCUGUGUUAUUUUAGCAAUCUAGCUUAAUGCGUUAUCGUAAUAAAAAAUCAGUAUUGCCGAGGCAUAAGUGUUGAGAGAUUAAAGUUGGUUUCAGUUGGUAGAAAUGAAAUGUGAAUAUGUUUAGCGUUAAUAUGUGGAUGUAGCAAUUUUACAAUGUUAAAGUUAAUUAAAUUUGGAACCGAGAAGAACUUGAUUUGUAAAAUGGCAUGCUAUUGGGGGCGCAGAAGACGCUCGUAAUCUAAACAGACACAGUAGAAGCCUCCUCGACGCUGUAACUGUUACUUAUGAUGUACGUCGAGCACACAAUCGUAUUAUUACCUCCCCCUCGCCUCUGCAGUGACAACCGUCAUUACAAUGUUAUUAUAAUAGCUUCGAAUUACGUCCACCGAUCGUCGUACUGUGUAACAUCGGGCUGCAAACAUCCUUGAAUGGAAAUAACGUCGUUCUAUUUAUGAGUCUUCAAAAUUCCUCAGGGUGGGGGCAUUCAAAACGGGUCGCCUGGAUAACACGUUUAUUUUUAAAGGUACAUACGAAGCUCGGUCUUAGGGGCAUUAGUCUGUCAAUCAUUAGAAGCGAGGAAAAUUAAUGGUUUCGACAUGUAGAAAAUAAUUAAUAAUUCCAAUUAUAAAAACUACGUGGCUGUAGAAAAUUCAUGUUGGUUGCACUUAAAAAUGGAAGGUUUAAGGUGUAAAUUUGCAAAGCUUUUAAGCAUUCUCUUUGUAUGCUACCUGGCCGAUUAACUCGAUCAUCCUUAAUUAUUCUACGAUGGCGGCUUCUUUGUAAACAAGAUGGCGAACAUGAACCCGCGUUAAUGACAUCGCGAAGAAAUUUGAGCGGAGAUCACAAGGUUGGCUCACGGCCACGAUGCUAAUAGAAAGAGUGAGCGCAGGAAAUGCGGAUGAUGGUCGUCAUCUCGACCUACGUGUCGACAUUUCGACGACGCAACCAACCGCUACAAAAUAAUGGCGCCGCAAUACUUCCAACGAUAAAUAUUUCAAUGAAUUUAAUAUCGAAUACAGAAGAGUGUUCGACGAAUAAAAAUGAUUUAAAUCUGUGGCUGUAAAUAAUCAAUUAGUAUACUAUCGUUGAUCGUGACUUUAAAAAAAUAAAAGUUAUCGAGAAUGUAAACCGAAACAAAGCAAAAUGCAAUUUUGCGUAUUUUUGUGAUUGUAUUAUUGAAUCUUGUAUUGCGAUGGGUAUUUUAAAAAUGAUCGAAAAGUUCCUGGGAUACUGACCUCGAGAAAGUAUGGUCGCACUCUCACCUCGAAUUCGACGUUGCUGUCGGAGGAGUCCAUGGGCACUCGCAAGCAAAUCAAGCAACAAAAACAGAAGAAAGACGAUCGGGAAAGCAAACGCAGUCGCGAAACGUACACAUGAAGACGAAGAGAGGAAGAAACGCCCUCGUUUCGCCUUCUGCCUUGCAAUCGCAGAGCUCUGGCAAUUAUUUUUGGCGCCGAGCUCACCAUAGCCGAUCAUCGAGAGCAAUUGGUCAAGAAAUGGAGCGUGAUGACCACCAUGAUUCGUCCCCCGGAACCGAUCGCGCCCAUAUCGAUCAUCGAAUUUCAAUGGAAAUGCAAAACUAACCCAUCACAGUGUCGUUGGCGAGGUUCGACUUCAUCGUCCGUGAAAAUUAACUAAUUUUAAGAACACAGACUAAAGAAAUAAUAGCUUGAACUGUCGUGGGGUGAAAAAUAAUUAUUGUACAUGAAUGUAAUGGAUCAAUGAUUCUUUGAGCAUUUUAUUUUGUAUUUCUUAUACCAUGAUCGUGCUGCUUAUUACAAGACAUUAUAUUUUUAAAACAAGAGAGCAAAUUCCCUUCAAGUUUGUAUUUCACACCAAAAGAGACUUAAAUGUCUUUGAUCUUUUGCUAAAACUGAUUCGAACUCUGUCGAAAUACCAAUUUUGAAAUCGAUCUAUCCUCGAAUAGGUGCUAUAACCCUAAAUAUAAAUCAUAAAGUCAUCUGGCUCCC